rnacentral:misc_RNA from 1 species
AUCUCUCAAUCUCUGAGCUUGGUAACUCGAGCAAAGGAAUUGGACUUGGGAGCUUGCUGGCGAUCCCGCCAGCUCUCCUUGAAUGCAUUAGCUUGGACCCUUACUGCAAGGAAUCCCCGGUGUGAUAAUUAUCUACGCCGUCGGAACGCUUGUGGCGCGUGUUACCCUGCUUGAUUGCAGUCGCUGUAACCGUGGGAAAACGAGCUUCUAAUCGUCCUCGGACAACCUUCUUGAC